GCGAAGUCACAGAUAGCAGUGCAACUAACCAUUGCCCAGCCAUCUGCGCCUGAAAUACGCCUAAUUUAGGUGUAUUUCAGAAUAGUAAAUGACCCCCGCAUAUGUUUGUCUUUUGCC